rnacentral:rRNA from 1 species
ACCUGACUGCUAUCGGAUUGAUACUAAGCCAUGCGAGUCAUUGUAGCAAUACAAGGCAUACGGCUCAGUAACGCGUAGUCAACCUAACCUAUGGACGGGAAUAACCUCGGGAAACUGAGAAUAAUGCCCGAUAGAACACUAUACCUGGAAUGGUUUGUGUUCCAAAUGAUUUAUCGCCAUAGGAUGGGACUGCGGCCUAUCAGUUUGUUGGUGAGGUAAUGGCCCACCAAGACUAUUACAGGUACGGGCUCUGAGAGGAGUAGCCCGGAGAUGGGUACUGAGACACGGACCCAGGCCCUAUGGGGCGCAGCAGGCGAGAAAACUUUGCAAUGUGCGAAAGCACGACAAGGUUAAUCCGAGUGAUUUCUGCUAAAGAGAUCUUUUGUUAGUCCUAGAAACACUAACGAAUAAGGGGUGGGCAAGUUCUGGUGUCAGCCGCCGCGGUAAAACCAGCACCUCAAGUGGUCAGGAUGAUUAUUGGGCCUAAAGCAUCCGUAGCCGGCUCUGUAAGUUUUCGGUUAAAUCUGUACGCUCAACGUACAGGCUGCCGGGAAUACUGCAGAACUAGGGAGUGGGAGAGGUAGACGGUACUCGGUAGGAAGUGGUAAAAUGCUUUGAUCUAUCGAUGACCACCUGUGGCGAAGGCGGUCUACCAGAACACGUCCGACGGUGAGGGAUGAAAGCUGGGGGAGCAAACCGGAUUAGAUACCCGGGUAGUCCCAGCUGUAAACUAUGCAAACUCAGUGAUGCAUUGGCUUGUGGCCAAUGCAGUGCUGCAGGGAAGCCGUUAAGUUUGCCGCCUGGGAAGUACGUACGCAAGUAUGAAACUUAAAGGAAUUGGCGGGGGAGCACCACAAGGGGUGAAGCCUGCGGUUC